rnacentral:lncRNA from 1 species
GAUAGACUAUCUGAGCUCUCUGGGCUAAGCAAGGUCCAGAGGCAGCUUUUCCUUAGCUCUCUGGCAAAUUCCCUUUUAAAUCUUUGGCAAUCCUAAAUUGGCAGUUUGGGAAGAGAGAGGUGACUGGCAGUGGCUGAAGUGAAAAGACUGGCAGAGAGAAGAAAAGAUCUUUUUCCCUGAUCUCUGUGAGAAAGCAGAGAGAGGACAGGCUUUGGCCUAUCCAGGCAGGAUAGGUUUGUUAAUCAAGAGAGGAGCAUGAAGACACUGAGCUCUGGAGGGAAAUUGGAGGAAGCACUUGUCUCAGUGUCUCGGUGAAAUCACCACAAUAUCAUCUCCAAACAGGAGCAUCUGGAGAACCUCACCCAUAUAUAAAGAAUUUCUCUUCCAUAUGGACUCCUGAAUGAUUUUUCUCUAUGAAAAUGGCAAAUGCCUUGGGUGAGCAUAUGUCUCUCUGAUUUAUGCUUUACUUUAUAUUAAUAAUCAGAGAGUCAUUGAGCUAAGCUAUUUCAGUUAUUAUUUCUCUCAAGAAAUUUUAUAUGAUUUUGAAAUAUGCAUUAGAGACACAUUGUUGUAAGAGGGUCUAAAAGUGCUAUUCUGUUCUACAAAAUAUAAAGCUUUUUAAUAUAAUUAAACAAUAAGCACAGUGGCAUCUGUAUUCUCCACAACUUUUCAUCAACUGUGUGGAUAUGGAUAGUUAUAAAAUAUAAUUUAAAAAAAAUUCUUGUUGAUAUAUUCUCAUAUGUUUAUGUAGGGGACCUUAAAUGGUGUGUAUAGCUUAGACUCAUAAGGAAAUAAACAGAUAAAUGUAAUUAUGGAAAACA